CUUUUCCAAGACCCUUCUUCAUUCCAGCGCCCCCUCUACUCCUAUCCAGUGAUAUCUUCCAGAUUUUCAGAAAUAAUUUUUUAGAUACACAGAAACAAACAUUUCUACCAGGAUCUAAAAAUAGCCAUCACCUUCUUUAGCCCAUUUAACUUGACGAAAUGUGUCCCUCCCAUUUCAGGGGUAGGGAGGAGGUCCCAGGGAAGAACCUGGUUGCCAAAGUCUCGGCCAGUUGGAGAAGAGAUGGGUCUCCCGAGGAUACCCAAGCCCAAGCUCUACACUGUCCCAAGGUUGCUCAACCCUCCAUCAGACUGUUAGGUCAAGGGUGGACAAACAGACCAACCGGGAUCUGGAUGGCCCCUGGGCAGUACUGACUUCCCCUACCAUUCCCAUGGCAAGAAAAGGGAGUGAUUCCACUAGCAGACUCCCCUACCCUGCAGUGAGACAGCCUGUAGGAAGCCUCAACUCCCGACCCAUGGCCUGUGGUGAGAGGUGCUAACAACAUGACCUGCUUUCAUCUUGACCUUCCCAGCCCACCCAGAGAAAAGGGAAUCUUGGCUAAAAAAAGGCUGGAAGAGGGGAGAACCCUGGCACUGCGGGUGGGGCUGGGAGGAGCCCAGGCAACCUUACUGGUGAGAAUCUCAUGGCUCUUCAAGCUGACUGCUAAGCUGGAUGCGUAGGGGAAAGCAGAGAAAAGGUGAUUUACUGGGACACAGAGACACAGGCUGGAAGAGAUAGCAUGUGUUUCCUUAAAAUUUGAAGCAUUUGGCUGGGCACAGUGGCUCACACCUGUAAUCCCUGCACUUUGGGAGGUAAAGGCAAGAGGAUUUCCUGGGCCCAAGAGUUAGAGGCUGCAGUGAGCUAUGAUUGUGCCAUUGUACUCCAGCCUGGGAGACAGAAACCCCCUCUCUUAAAAAAAUAAAAAAAUAAAAAAUGGAACCAUUGCUCUGAGUUUCUAAUAGGGGGAGU
rnacentral:lncRNA from 10 species